rnacentral:misc_RNA from 1 species
UACGAAGGGGGCGAGCGUUGUUCGGAAUCACUGGGCUUAAAGCGUGCGUAGGCGGAUAUGAAAGUCAGAAGUGAAAUCCCGGGGCUCAACCCCGGAACUGCUUUUGAAACUUCAUGUCUAGAAUCCGACAGAGGUUAACGGAAUUCCGAGUGUAGAGGUGAAAUUCGCAGAUAUUCGGAGGAACACCAGUGGCGAAGGCGGUUAACUGGGUCGGUAUUGACGCUGAGGUACGAAAGCGUGGGGAGCAAACAGG